CACACACACCACUGCUUAUAUUACAAAAAAACAUUUUGCACUCAACUUUUCUUCAUGUAAAUGGAUUUGAGUCUCUUUCACAAAUGUUCAUUACUGAAUCCUGGCUUGGACACAGGACCUAAUUAAUCAUCUCUUUGGGUCUGCUUUUGUUCUCUGUGUCAGCAACAAAUCCUUUCCCAGAAAAAAAAAAUCCUUCAAGCUUUGCCCUAGGAGUAAGGCACGGGAGAAAAGGAGGGGCCCUAUUCCUGUAGAAGCCCAUUGUUUAUUUAACCCAGUGGCUGAAUUAUAAUCAGGCUUUCAUUGUUUUGUUUUUGAGGCUAAGAAGAGAAUUAAGCUAGUUCUAUUUAGUGGCUUAGAAGGGAGAGGGUCAAGUCUGGGUGUGCAUGAAAACCUCCCUUUCUUUGUUGCUUAGUUUGUGUGUGUGUGUGUGUGUGUGUGUGUGUGUGUGUGUGUGUGUGUGUGUGUGUUUGUGUUAUGUUUGUAUGUGUGGUAUGUAUGUGAAUGAUCAUACUGAGGUCAGGGGUUGAUGUUGGGUUUCUUCCAUGAUACCUACCCACUUUGUCUCUUGAGGGGUAGUAUCUGUUCCUACACCUGGAACUCACCAGUUCUUACCAGUCUAGCUAGCCUACUUGCCCUGUGAUUCCCCCAUCUCUGUCUCUUAAAUGCUGGGAUUAGCGACAACCACCACACCUACCAGGCUUUUUUAUGGAUUCCGGGGAUCCAAACACUGUUGCUUAUGCUUUUAAGGCAAGCAUUGUGUCCACUGAGUGACAUCCCCAACCCUCUAUUUCUUAAAUACACUUUUUGUAGGUAGUAUGAAGAGGAGGGGGAGAGGGAUAUGAAGGAGAAGCUGAGAGAAAAGGAGGAAAGGCAGCUCCAAGUACAAUGCUUUACUCUUUGAAUAUGAGGGUAAUGUUUUCUAGGCUCGUCUGAUAGUCCUUUCUAAGUCUGAAAUCGGCACACACAGAGUACCACGAAGCUUGCAGAAUUCUUCAGUGCUCUCUGUUACUGACAGCUCACAGUGCCUUGCCAUCACCACCCUAAGUAACUCUCCUAUGAGUGAACUCUCCCCACCAUGCUGCAACCCAAGAAGCAUCAUUGAUACUACAGGAAAUGAAAGACAACAUAAGAACCUAGAUCUAUGAUUUGAGCCAUGGAUUCCAGGCGCCAUGUUUAGCCCCUCACAGUGCCUGGAAGGUGGCACGUGGUUGUUGUCAAGUUCAAUAUUCCGUUCUUACUUGUGUCUUCUUGCCUGCUGGUAGUUGUGAACUCCAUUUCCAGGCUGUAGAGGUUAGGCUUGUCUCCACAUCACACCAACAGCUCAAACUCCCUCUAAGUGCUUUCCUAUGGUACAGAUAGGGGCUGCCAAGUGGCAAUGGCCUCAGCCAAAAUAGAUUUCCAAGUGGUUUGGCCUGAAGGACCCUGAUCUACUAGGUGCCAGAUUUGACCAUGAGACAUGGGGUAAAGAACCCCUUUCUGGGUUUCCCAAGAAGACAGAUAAACUUGGCCUGACACUAAUCAAAAAUCUCUGGGUUUGUAUAACACAUUUUCUCAUUUUAUUUGAUUUUUAGCCUUGUAUUUAAGUGCCUGUCACAACGACCCAUAGGAGAACAAAAGGCAACACAUGUCUACUGCAGUUUAUACUGAAUGAGUGGAAUCAUAAUCACAUGACGGUCAGGAAUGGACAAGGCCACACAUGCUGUGGCUGAUGGCAGGGACAGCCUGGGGCUCCGUGAGUGGAUUCCGUGUCCAGCACUCAUCGCUGGCCUAUACCACCUGCUGCUGUACAUAUGUUGGCUGUCCUUCCAGAGAGAAAGGGGGCUGUUUAGGGCAGAAAAUGCUGCAUCGUCAGCUGCUGACUCUCCAUUCCCGUGGAGAGAGGCGGAUGCUGAUGGUGCACGAUACAGAGAAAAGCGAUAAUUUCUUUUUCAUUUGAGAACAUGUUUUCAGGUGAGGAAUCGACCUCUUCCAUCAUACUCUGCUCUGUUUUGAAUAAAAUAAAGAGGACUGUGUAAAGGAAUGAUUUUUUUUAACCACUGCAUUAUGUCCUUUGCGUAUCAUGUCUCCUCUUAGCUAAGAACAGCAUUAUCCACUCUCCAUACGUAAAGGUACAGGGUCCGAAGUGCCGCGCACAUCUCGCAAAGCCUCGUAGCUGCAAGUGUGCCUUCCACACUCCCCUGAGCUCGUUGAUCUCCUUUGUAAGAUUCCGGAGGGCUAGGAAGAUGUCCCAGUGGGUGAGAUAUUGGAUGUGGAAGCAAAUUCGAAGAUGUCGGCUUAGAUCCCAGCACUCACGGAGAAAGCCACGUGUGGAGGACGCUCGGUAUUGCAGUUAAACCAGAUCAGCGUUUGUUCUCAGGUUCAUUUGCCGUAGUAAGGCCAACCUCGGUGAGUAUCUUUCCUGACAUGUGAGUAUCCUUCCUGAUAUCCAAAUGGUUAUCAGGAAGAUUAUCUAGAAAAUCAAAAGUUUUCCACUCUUGCUCACACCAGCCCCAUCUCUGGAACACCAACCCUCAGGGGGCAUUUCCUCUGCUGAUUUCAGAUGACUCCUUGGUUAGGGUAUGUUCCUCACAUGAGUGCAUGGACACACAUCUGGAGACUGAAUGAAGCUCUCUUGAGCUCUCUGUGGCCCUCGGUCCUGUUCUUCCUCUCUGGUCCUCUAUGAACCCUGGCCAGCAUCCUCUGGACUUCCUACUCUCUCACCAAUAGGGUUCUCUCCUCAGGGGUGAGCUCUAGCAACUUUCUCAAGGCAGGAGCAGAAAACAACUUAAGAACUUAGCACAUUUGUUUCUUAUCACACAUAGCUCACUGUCUUGGCUCUGUCCUCUCCCUUUCCUCUCUUCCUUUUCCUCCUCCUCCCUCUUCUUUCUCUUCCUCCUUCUCCCCUUCUUUCUUCUCUUUCCUCCCUUUUUUUUCUUUUCCUUUUUUCUGAACAGUAAUCCAAGUUCCCAUGCAUGCUAGCCAAGUGCGGUGCCACAGGUCUACCCAGCCAGAUCAUGGAUGCUCUUUCUACUCAUCUUUUAGACAGUUUGCCGUGUGGCCAUUCCUCACUCUUUCCCCACCUCUCUGCAAGAUCUCAUUCCAAAACUUCAAGCAAACCCAUAUGCUGAGUCUCAAAUUUCCAUUCUCAUCCCAGUCUAUCAUCCGAACUCCCACACUACCCACCCAAUGACUUACCAUCACAUUUUUCUAGAUAUUCCCACAAGCUGCUUGAACUCAACAUGCAGAAAUGGAAUAGCACCCCCUAUGCCUUCCUGGCCCACCUGACAUCUCGGUUUGUCACGUAAACCAUGGGUAGCUCUAUCUGCUUCCUUUCCUUUCCAGGAUGUUCACCGAGAUUGUGUUUCUGUCAUUGUUCACUACCAUGUAGAACAGCCUGUGGCAUAAGGAGGGUCUCAAUUAAUACAGUGAACACAUUGGUGCCAAAUAUAAGGGGGAUAAUCUGAGAGAGGGGAGGGAAACAGUUAAAAAUUAAUUAGUCUCGCUGCAUUGGAUUUGCCGUGUCCCUAAAAAGGGUGAAUCGGAAAGCACAGAAAGACAAGGAUGAGAGUUGGUUUUAUUUCUGGUGACUGUGAAGAACCUGGGGAUAAUCAGGAAGAGAAAACUGAGCAGAAAUAACGGAAGGAAGUUAGCUUUCUAGGCUCGUACAUACUUAACACUUGCCUCUUAGUAUGGUGUCUCAAUGAAGCACAUCUAUGGUUCCCUUCUGUGCUGAAUAUGUGCUCAUACCAAGUGCACUGCUUUUAGAAGUGUCUUUGAGUCACUUUAUACAAAGCUGUCCUUCUCAUCAAUCAUAUUAUAAAUUCUGACUGGGCUUAACAUGCCUAUUUUAUCCAUAGUUUGGGAGACCAGGAGCAAGAACUUUAUUUCUUUGUGGGCAUGUGUGUCGCCAAGACAGUGAUUGCGAGCCUUCCCUAAGGCGGUGCAUACAGAAAUAUUGUACGUGAAAAAAGCAGAGAUGUGGGGCAGACAUUGGGCUCUCAGUCUCGUCUGAUUCUGAGACACAUGUGUACCAUACUUCCAUCCACACACCGGUCCUGCUUGCAUUAUAUAGAAGAACUGUGCUGGUUCACGUUGGCAAGCCGACUUCAGCAUGCCUAAAGCUAUUUCCCAUGGAAAUCUUGGCCCAGCUCCUCUGGAUGCAAACUCGCUGGCGGAGCAUGCGUGUUUGAGUUUGGGGAGAGUUCCCAGCAUGCUCUACUUCUGUUCAAGGGAGCUGGACGGAACUAGGGCCCAGAGGAAACUGGAGAGCAGGCCAGGCAGGUGUGAAGGAUUCAACGGUGGCCACAAUGUGUGAAGAGCAACAGUUAAACCUAAUUAAGGCACCUGCUGAACAUCACACAAAUUUGGAAGAGACAAAGCAAUUGCUUGACAGAGUUUCUGUAGUUGUUUGAGAAGCCACACCUCGGAGUAAUCCACAGAAAAGAGAAGGAUGGGGAACCUAGUUUCUUCCUGUCAUCUUUUCCUCCAUCAAGGUUCUUCUCAAGGUGAGUCGCCGCCCUGCACCACCCACUGUGUCUCUCAGAAAGGGGACUGAAUUCCUGAAGAUGUAGUAUUUCAUCAAAAUGUGGGUCGGGAGAUCCAUGCGUCUUCUUCCGGUUUGGUCUUCAGCUCUAGCUAGUUUGUGGUAGGAUAAAGUUGGAAGGGGUGGGAGAUCAGCAAGGGUCUAGCAAAGCCAAGAUCAUGGCCAGACAGCCAUGCAGAGCAUGCAAAAGGAUGAAGGAGGUCAAGGGAGACCAAGAAGAUUCACAAAGCUGUGCUCAUUGUAAGUCUGCCCCCGCUUCCUUCCUGAACAAUUAAAUCAGGAUGUCUGAGACUGGGCAUCAUUUGAAAGGCUCCUCAGAUUACACGGGUGUCCGGCCCAGGAGUGUGGGAGUCACUGCUUUUAGGUGUCUCCAAAAACAAACAUCUUGGUGCAAACUUCAUAUCAUAAUGUCCGUCUUUCUCCUAACUGGGAAAAAAAAAGCAAAGCUACUUAUUUAUAAGGAUAUAAUCAGAAGCUGCUGCACCCCUGAGCCUUAAAUUAUUUUGGGGCAAGCUCUGGAAGACGCAAGCAUUUUGUGACCUUGAUUUCUCACUACACAAAAGGCCACCGAAAUUCUUGAUGCAAAACAAUGAAAUUUUCCAUUAGGUUCCACUUAAGCAGCAAUUCUGCAAAGGGUAGGAGGAAACAGCAGGUUCCUCGGUCAGACUAAAUAGGUUUUGUUUGAAAAAGUAAUAAUCAGUUCACUGUCCUGGAUUUAGAGGGCACAUCCAUCCUCUGAACUAACAAUGUCAGAUUUUACUCUCGUCACAUAAAUUGUGCUCUAGCCGUGUGUAUCCAGAUGAAACCAAAACACGAAUAAAGAGACUCCUUGCGCUUUUCCUGGAAAUGCAUUUCCCAUUACACACCUUCAAUUUCCAUCUCUUGUGCUCCAUCUAUUGCGGACUGUUACAGGAAAAGGAGCAAGAAACAGCCUGGAAAAGAACUUAUUAUUGCAAGCAAAUGCAUCUUUCAUCUUGGCCCAGUAGUAUCUGAAUGCCUUGCCCCCUCAGCCUGUUUCACCACCCACAGGGUCUCUUUAGUCAGGUCAGCAAUUGAGUUAAAAAAAAUGACCAGGAGGGAUGGCAGGUCUGAAGGCUACAGGAACAGGAUGUGUAAUGUAAGCAGUACUCCGAGAGUAUGUGUUCCUGGUGGUAUCAUGUCUCCUAGCCAAUCACUUUCCCCGGCUGUAUGUGAGGUGUAGGUAGUCUUGAAAAUCUUGUUUAAUCCUUCCAGCUCAGGGAUUUGACAUUUCCAAAUGCUUGGACCACGGCCCACAUGCCUCUGUCAACAUAGACUACUGGCUUUGAAUUCUGCUUUUAUUUUUUAUUUAUUUU
rnacentral:sRNA from 1 species